UACAGAGGUCUCAAGCGUUGUUCGGAUUCAUUGGGCGUAAAGGGUGUGUAGGUGGCGCGCUAAGUCGGGUGUGAAAUUUCGGAGCUUAACUCCGAAACUGCAUUCGAUACUGGCGUGCUCGAGGACUGGAGAGGAGACUGGAAUUCAUGGUGUAGCAGUGAAAUGCGUAGAGAUCAUGAGGAAGACCAGUGGCGAAGGCGGGUCUCUGGACAGCUCCUGACACUGAGACACGAAGGCCAGGGGAGCAAACGGG
rnacentral:rRNA from 1 species